rnacentral:tRNA from 1 species
GAGGGUUUAGCUUAAGUGGUAGAGCAGAUGCUCAGCAUGCAUGAGGUCCUGGGUUCAAUCCCCAGUACCUCA